CCUACGGGAGACAGUAGUGAGGAAUAUUGGUCAAUGGACGAGAGUCUGAACCAGCCAAGUAGCGUGAAGGAUGACUGCCCUAUGGGUUGUAAACUUCUUUUAUAUGGGAAUAAAAUGUUCCACGUGUGGGAUUUUGUAUGUACCAUAUGAAUAAGGAUCGGCUAACUCCGUGCCAGCAGCCGCGGUAAUACGGAGGAUCCGAGCGUUAUCCGGAUUUAUUGGGUUUAAAGGGAGCGUAGGUGGAUUGUUAAGUCAGUUGUGAAAGUUUGCGGCUCAACCGUAAAAUUGCAGUUGAAACUGGCAGUCUUGAGUACAGUAGAGGUGGGCGGAAUUCGUGGUGUAGCGGUGAAAUGCUUAGAUAUCACGAAGAACUCCGAUUGCGAAGGCAGUUCACUGGACUGCAACUGACACUGAGGCUCGAAAGUGUGGGUAUCAAACAGGAUUAGAUACCCGUGUAGUC
rnacentral:rRNA from 1 species